CAAAUAGCUAUUAAAAGGCGGGAAUCUACAUAUCUCAUCUGAAAUUUAGAUGAUAUUUUUAUUUUUUCAGUUCUCUAUAAUUGAAUUUUCGGGUCAAUUUGAUGAAGGAUUAAUUGAAGUUUGAUCUUUUAAAAUUCCUUUAUAUAAUUUAAUGAUUGACUUUUAGCAAUUCAAUUGUGCAGGAGAAACGUUUGAUAUUAAUUUGUUAUUUUGAGGUGAUUAACCGAUAGCAUGUGCUUCAGGGCUUACUCUCAUAGCAGAAGGAAGAGUUGCUCUGUUAGUCUAUGAUGAUGCAAAAGUCAUUUUCCAAUGGUAAGAUGUCACCGGAGCUAUUCUCAGAUUCCAAAGCAUUAUAAGAGGCAAAGAAGUAGGAGCUUUAAAUCUUCUAGCUCAAAUCUUGUGACCAUAGAGCAGAAAAGCUGAAAAGUGCUAGUGACAUAUUAAUAGAAGAAGAGGAAGGAAAAGGGGGAUGAUGUAACCACAAUUCAUAUUGGAAGAAUGAAUGCAAGGAUCCCAAGUGGGUUCUCAGGUCUUGUGAAAUUCAAAACUCAUUUCAUGCUUUAAUUUUAGUAUUGAUGAAUGAUGAAUUCAGAUCAUUCAGUUUCAUGUACGCAAAUCCGUUUUUCUUACCUCCCUCAGUUAUAUGGAAAUUUUCCAAGCUGAGUAAUGUGCUGUUUUGUACAGCUCAUGCUACCUAAUAACAUCCAGAUAGAAAAUGCAAAGGAAAAUAAU